rnacentral:rRNA from 1 species
UACAGAGGGUGCAAGCGUUAAUCGGAAUUACUGGGCGUAAAGCGCGCGUAGGUGGUUUGUUAAGUUGGAUGUGAAAUCCCCGGGCUCAACCUGGGAACUGCAUUCAAAACUGACAAGCUAGAGUAUGGUAGAGGGUGGUGGAAUUCCCUGUGUAGCGGUGAAAUGCGUAGAUAUAGGAAGGAACACCAGUGGCGAAGGCGACCACCUGGACUGAUACUGACGCUGAGGCGCGAAAGCGUGGGGAUCAAACAGG